UACGUAGGUGGCAAGCGUUGUCCGGAUUUACUGGGCGUAAAGAGCGCGCAGGCGGUCGUUCAAGUCGCGUGUGAAAGCCCCCGGCUCAACUGGGGAGGGUCACGCGAUACUGAUCGACUCGAAGGCAGGAGAGGGUAGUGGAAUUCCUGGUGUAGCGGUGGAAUGCGCAGAUAUCAGGAGGAACACCAACGGCGAAGGCAGCUCGCUGGGACGGUACUGACGCUGAGGCGCGAAAGCGUGGGGAGCGAACAGG
rnacentral:rRNA from 1 species